rnacentral:lncRNA from 1 species
GGUGGGCCCCGACCCGUGUUCCCCACUCCAGCCUGGCUCCUUCCUCACUGCCCUCACUCGGCCUCAGGGUGUGCCCCCAGGCUGGCCAGAGCUGGCCUUGUCUUCCCACUCAGGGACGUCCCGGAGCCACAGCACCCGCAGUCCCCACAGCACCCAAAACCCCUUUCCCUCACUGAAGGCUGAGCCGCGGCUCACGUGGUGUUGCCUGAGCCGCAGUGUCCCUCUGCCCGCGGAGCAGAAGGCAAAGGCGGCAUCUGUGUACUUGGCGGUGCACUUUCCUGGUAGCAGCCUCCGAGAUGAGGGUCCCAAUGGCCCUCCUGGGAGCAAUGGAGGAUGGACCUGGACAAGCCCUGGAGAAGGAGGGCCGGCGCAGAUGUCCAAGUUCUCCUACCCAACAGUCCCAGGGGUGAUGCCCCAGCACCAGGUGUCUGAGCCAGAAUGGAAGAAAGGCCUGCCUCGGAGAGCAAAGAUGUCUCGUGGGAACAGCAAGCAGAGAAAACUGAGGAUCAA